UGAACGCUAGCGACAGGCCUAACACAUGCAAGUCGAGGGGUAACAGGGAAGCUUGCUUCCGCUGACGACCGGCGCACGGGUGCGUAACGCGUAUGAAACCUACCUUAUACUGGGGGAUAGCCCGAAGAAAUUCGGAUUAAUACCCCAUAAUAUAGUUGAUUGGCAUCGAUUAGCUAUUAAAACUCCGGUGGUAUAAGAUGGUCAUGCGUGACAUUAGCUAGUUGGUGAGGUAACGGCUCACCAAGGCAACGAUGUCUAGGGGUUCUGAGAGGAAGGUCCCCCACACUGGUACUGAGACACGGACCAGACUCCUACGGGAGGCAGCAGUGAGGAAUAUUGGUCAAUGGGCGCAAGCCUGAACCAGCCAUGUCGCGUGAAGGAAGAAGGUUCUAUGGAUUGUAAACUUCUUUUAUACGGGAAGAAUGUUCACUACGUGUAGUGAUUCGACGGUACCGUAUGAAUAAGCACCGGCUAACUCC
rnacentral:rRNA from 1 species